AGCACAGAGAGCUUGCUCUCGGGUGACGAGCGGCGGACGGGUGAGUAAUGUCUGGGAAACUGCCUGAUGGAGGGGGAUAACUACUGGAAACGGUAGCUAAUACCGCAUAACGUCGCAAGACCAAAGUGGGGGACCUUCGGGCCUCAUGCCAUCAGAUGUGCCCAGAUGGGAUUAGCUAGUAGGUGGGGUAACGGCUCACCUAGGCGACGAUCCCUAGCUGGUCUGAGAGGAUGACCAGCCACACUGGAACUGAGACACGGUCCAGACUCCUACGGGAGGCAGCAGUGGGGAAUAUUGCACAAUGGGCGCAAGCCUGAUGCAGCCAUGCCGCGUGUGUGAAGAAGGCCUUCGGGUUGUAAAGCACUUUCAGCGGGGAGGAAGGCGGUGAGGUUAAUAACCUUCGCGAUUGACGUUACCCGCAGAAGAAGCACCGGCUAACUCCGUGCCAGCAGCCGCGGUAAUACGGAGGGUGCAAGCGUUAAUCGGAAUUACUGGGCGUAAAGCGCACGCAGGCGGUCUGUCAAGUCGGAUGUGAAAUCCCCGGGCUCAACCUGGGAACUGCAUUCGAAACUGGCAGGCUAGAGUCUUGUAGAGGGGGGUAGAAUUCCAGGUGUAGCGGUGAAAUGCGUAGAGAUCUGGAGGAAUACCGGUGGCGAAGGCGGCCCCCUGGACAAAGACUGACGCUCAGGUGCGAAAGCGUGGGGAGCAAACAGGAUUAGAUACCCUGGUAGUCCACGCCGUAAACGAUGUCGAUUUGGAGGUUGUGCCCUUGAGGCGUGGCUUCCGGAGCUAACGCGUUAAAUCGACCGCCUGGGGAGUACGGCCGCAAGGUUAAAACUCAAAUGAAUUGACGGGGGCCCGCACAAGCGGUGGAGCAUGUGGUUUAAUUCGAUGCAACGCGAAGAACCUUACCUGGUCUUGACAUCCACAGAACUUUCCAGAGAUGGAUUGGUGCCUUCGGGAACUGUGAGACAGGUGCUGCAUGGCUGUCGUCAGCUCGUGUUGUGAAAUGUUGGGUUAAGUCCCGCAACGAGCGCAACCCUUAUCCUUUGUUGCCAGCGGUUAGGCCGGGAACUCAAAGGAGACUGCCAGUGAUAAACUGGAGGAAGGUGGGGAUGACGUCAAGUCAUCAUGGCCCUUACGACCAGGGCUACACACGUGCUACAAUGGCAUAUACAAAGAGAAGCGACCUCGCGAGAGCAAGCGGACCUCAUAAAGUAUGUCGUAGUCCGGAUUGGAGUCUGCAACUCGACUCCAUGAAGUCGGAAUCGCUAGUAAUCGUAGAUCAGAAUGCUACGGUGAAUACGUUCCCGGGCCUUGUACACACCGCCCGUCACACCAUGGGAGUGGGUUGCAAAAGAAGUAG
rnacentral:rRNA from 1 species